rnacentral:rRNA from 1 species
UGGGGAAUAUUGCACAAUGGGCGCAAGCCUGAUGCAGCCAUGCCGCGUGUGUGAAGAAGGCCUUCGGGUUGUAAAGCACUUUCAGCGGGGAGGAAGGCGUUAAGGUUAAUAACCUUGGCGAUUGACGUUACCCGCAGAAGAAGCACCGGCUAACUCCGUGCCAGCAGCCGCGGUAAUACGGAGGGUGCAAGCGUUAAUCGGAAUUACUGGGCGUAAAGCGCACGCAGGCGGUCUGUCAAGUCGGAUGUGAAAUCCCCGGGCUCAACCUGGGAACUGCAUUCUAAACUGGCAGGCUAGAGUCUUGUAGAGGGGGGUAGAAUUCCAGGUGUAGCGGUGAAAUGCGUAGAGAUCUGGAGGAAUACCGGUGGCGAAGGCGGCCCCCUGGACAAAGACUGACGCUCAGGUGCGAAAGCGUGGGGAGCAAACAGG